rnacentral:rRNA from 1 species
UGCAGUCGACGCUUCUUUUUCACCGGAGCUUGCUCCACCGGANAAAGAAGAGUGGCGAACGGGUGAGUAACACGUGGGUAACCUGCCCAUCAGAAGGGGAUAACACUUGGAAACAGGUGCUAAUACCGUAUAACAAUCAAAACCGCAUGGUUUUGAUUUGAAAGGCGCUUUCGGGUGUCGCUGAUGGAUGGACCCGCGGUGCAUUAGCUAGUUGGUGAGGUAACGGCUCACCAAGGCCACGAUGCAUAGCCGACCUGAGAGGGUGAUCGGCCACAUUGGGACUGAGACACGGCCCAAACUCCUACGGGAGGCAGCAGUAGGGAAUCUUCGGCAAUGGACGAAAGUCUGACCGAGCAACGCCGCGUGAGUGAAGAAGGUUUUCGGAUCGUAAAACUCUGUUGUUAGAGAAGAACAAGGAUGAGAGUAACUGUUCAUCCCUUGACGGUAUCUAACCAGAAAGCCACGGCUAACUACGUGCCAGCAGCCGCGGUAAUACGUAGGUGGCAAGCGUUGUCCGGAUUUAUUGGGCGUAAAGCGAGCGCAGGCGGUUUCUUAAGUCUGAUGUGAAAGCCCCCGGCUCAACCGGGGAGGGUCAUUGGAAACUGGGAGACUUGAGUGCAGAAGAGGAGAGUGGAAUUCCAUGUGUAGCGGUGAAAUGCGUAGAUAUAUGGAGGAACCCAGUGGCGAGGCGGCUCUCUGGUCUGUACUGACGCUGAGCUCGAAGCGU